ensembl:lncRNA
GCAGAGCAUACUGGUCUGUGAGGAUCCAAGCAGGCUAGCAGUACAUGGUGCAAGUGGCUGUUCCAGCCUCUUCUAUCCCCUUGCCAGUUCACAGUUCUGGAUAUUUUCUGCAACUGCAGAGCUGGAGAGACCUGGUUGGCAGCCUUGUAGGUGGAGAAGUGUGCCCAUAUCUGCACUGUAUUUGCUCCUUAAUCAGAGCAAUUGUGCCUUGUUUUGGGGGAGAGUUCUAAAUGAUUGGAGGAAGGUUGUCUGCAUCACCCGACUUGUACCUACGUGCACAAUCCAUCUCUAUCCGGUUGAAAGGAUAAAGAAGUGAGCUGACAAAUGCCAACCCUUUUGUUAGAGCACAUUAUAAGCAAUGAGAAAUCUCUAAGAUAACCCAGGGGAAGGGCUGGCAAGGGCCCAGAGAGCCCAGGAGGGCUGGGAACACCUCAACAGUGGAGUAGGGAGGCUGCAUCCCUCAGCCAAAACUUUCC